UGCGGGGCGGGGGCAUCCGUGUCGGUUUGCAGAGGUCAGGGAACACGGCCUUGGGGCGAGCGCUUCUCCUGAAUGUCUCCCCCUCCUGCCAGGCCCUGCCGAGAUGGUGAAGCUGUUCAUUGGGAACCUGCCGCGGGAGGCGACGGAGCAGGAGAUCCGGUCGCUGUUCGAGCAGUACGGGAAGGUGCUGGAAUGCGACAUCAUCAAGAACUACGGCUUCGUGCACAUCGAGGACAAGACGGCGGCCGAGGACGCCAUCCGCAACCUGCACCACCACAAGCUGCAUGGCGUCUGCAUCAACGUGGAGGCCAGCAAGAACAAGAGCAAGGCCUCCACCAAGCUGCACGUGGGCAACAUCAGCGCCACCUGCACCAACCUGGAGCUGCGGGCCAAGUUCGAGGAGUACGGCCCCGUCAUCGAGUGCGACAUCGUUAAGGAAUAUGCCUUUGUGCACAUGGAGCGGGCUGAAGAUGCUGUCGAGGCCAUCCGGGGCCUCGACAACACCGAGUUCCAAGGCAAGCGGAUGCGCGUGCAGUUGUCUACGAGCCGGCUCAGGACUGCGCCCGGGAUGGGAGACAAGAGUGGCUGCUAUCGGUGUGGGAAGGAAGGGCACUGGUCUAAAGAGUGUCCGGUCGACCGCCCGGGGCAGGUGCCUGACUUUACCGAGACCUAUAACGAGCAGUACGGAGCAGUGCGCACUCCCUAUCCCACGGGCUAUGGGGAGACCAUGUAUUACGAUGACGGGUACGGAGGAAUGGUCGACUACUACAAGCGCUACCGCGUGCGCUCGGCCUACGAUGCCUAUGCAGAGCAGACCAUGGCCCAAUACUCCCAGUAUGCCCAGUACUCCCAGGUGCAGCCCACGGCCAUGGCCGCCGCCACCACAGCCAUGGCCAGCCGCCUCCCCACCACCCUAGACCCUUACGAUAGAGCUCUGCUGCCCACCCCGGGCGCGGCGGCGGCCGUCGCCGCAGCUGCCACCGCUGCCGCGGCAGCUGUGUCCUCCACCUAUUACGCCCGGGAUAGGAGCCCCCUGCGUCGCACGGCAGCCGCGGCCACCACCGUCGGAGAGGCGUACGCGUACGACCGGAACCAGCUGUCCCCAGCGUCGUCGGUCACGCGGGCGGCCUCCCUCUACGACGUGCAGCGGUUCGGGCGGGAUCCGUACGCGGACAGGGCGCGGUACUCUGCGUUUUGAGCCGGAGGUCUAAGAAGGCACUGUCCAAGGCAGAGGUGUGGAGGCGAAGUGGGGUCGAACACAGACGUCCUGCCGGUUUCUGAGGUGCCUGUCAGCAGAGCUCUUGGUAGGAUAUUUGCGGCUGGACGUCGGGGUUCCUGUUGCACAUGAAAUCUGUACCGUGCGCGUCGCACUGCGCUGGGCUGGGCUGCCAAGCGUGCCAGUCGCGUUUGCCUUUAACGGACAUGCGUGUUCCUCCCUCCAGAACCUAGUGAAAGCAAACUGCCUAACUUCCCUCUCUUUAUUUUUCAGGCGCUGCUUUGAUUAGUGUCAGUCUUCCCGCCCCGCCCUUAUUUCACUUCCUCUGGCAGCGCAGAGCCUUUCCUGCCCCCAGAGCUACUACACUCCACCCGUAGCCUAGGUUUUGAGCUAGAGUAGCUGUAGUGCUAGCUUGCUUUUUGUUUCCCUUUGGGAGAUGUGCUUGGAGGCUGCUGCCUCUAGGGCAGUCCAGUGCGUAGCUUCCCUUUCUGAAAGCAUGUGUGUGCGCGUGUUUGUAAAGGUGACUAGUCCAGUCUUCCUCAGUACGAAGUGUUGUAUCUGAUGUGGCCUCACGAAGCCUCCUCCUGUACUUCUGGCCUUUGAUGUGGAGUUGUCUUUUCUACCCUGACCUUUUUUCUUUUUGGAGUAUAAGCUGUGAUUGCCCUUCCCUUGGGACUUGGGGGUGGGGGGUAGGUCUAGCAGCGUUCGAUUGCCACUCCUUUUUUCCAGAAAAAUAAAUGCUUGUAACAGA